GUAAUUUUUCAUUGUCGUUUGGUUUCUAUGUUGUAAUAGUUGUUUAUUCAAUUGUUCUGCUAUUCCUGUGGCUUGCAAAUAGAACAGCAUAACUUGAGAGAAAGGACAAUAAAGUACUCAAAACCGUCUCAGGAUUGUGAAAGGACAAUAAAGCAAACUGUCUACUGCAAGUACAAAUGAACCAAACAAUAUGGAUGAGAAGAAUCUAUGGAGGAACUUAGUAAUCGAGGUUGCUGGUGAUCUGACCUGCGAUUUGUCCCUGAUAAGGAGGUAAGUGUAUUUUUCAUAUACCUUGUAUUUUUCAUGUACCUCAUAGACGUAGACUUUUCCCUUUACAACUCAUGUUUCUCAUUUAUUCUGAUUUUGAAGAUUUUACUAGGUAACACUGAGAUUGUAUAUGCAACUUAGUAUUAAUAUUGUUCAAUGAUUCAAAUUGAGGAGACUCUAGCGACAUUGAUUUAUAAAGCUCCCUGAGCUAACUACUAUUUGCACAAAUCAAAGAAACUCUUUCAACAUAGCUCCCAACAGGGUUCGCUUGGAUGUGACUGAAGAGUUCAUUGUUGGCAUUAUUUAUUACCGAACACAUCUCUUUUCUUUGAUAGUACCUUUAAUCUACUAAAAGGUGUUUGGUCUAAUAAUCAGUUGAGGCUGUUGGUCCAUAAUAAUUUCUAAGAACAUGCUUAGAGAGUCAAAGUAAUUGUUUCAUAAUUUAACCUCCCAAAAAUAUACUAUCAUUAGGUUUACAAUACUUUGUAGAUAUCACGAGGCCUUAGACUACUUUUUGUUUAUAGGUUGCUAUGCUUCCAAUAAGACAUGGAGGGAAUGUGGACGCUCAGGAAACCAACAGCAAUUCAAAAGUUGGAACAACAUGUAAAGUCAAAGUUGCAUCACUCCUCACAAUUUCUAAAUGAAGAUGGCUACUGAUAUGUUAACACAUAUAUUUAAUUUUUACUGUGAUGUGAGUUUUUCAUAUUGAAGACUAGAUAGUGCUAAUUUGUAACAAUCUUUAAUAGAAAUAGUAGCUUGUUCGUCAAGUUAUCUGAGCAUGGGACUAUUGUUCCUGGUAGUGCAGUAACUGAAGCAAAAUAGUGGAGAGGUCAUGGUGUAUUUUUGCAAGUUCUGUUUGAUCUUGUAAAGAUUGUUUCCCAUAUAUUGAG